rnacentral:piRNA from 1 species
UACUUGGUCCUUUCUAUCUCCUAAGC